rnacentral:sRNA from 1 species
UCCAGUCUCUAGGCCCCACCUAGCACGGGCCGGCUGGGUCUGGGUCCUCCUGGGCCAGCGGCCUCUUCCCUGGGAGCUGUGUCGGGUUGUUUGAGGGUGGGAUAGGAGGGGCGUUGGGACCCCCGGCUAGGGGGCUGUUCUGCUACUCUGGUGACUUUGGCUGCUUGUUCCCAGGUGACCUCCUUCAGCACACCCCCCACCCCAGAACGGAACAACCGGCCCGCCUUCUUCUCCCCAUCCCUCAAGAGGAAGGUGCCCCGGAACCGGAUCGCUGAGAUGAAGAAGUCGCACUCGGCCAACGACAGUGAGGAGUUCUUCCGGGAGGACAACGGUGGAGCCGAUCUGCACAACGCAACCAACCUGCGGUCUCGGUCCCUGUCGGGCACAGGACGGUCCCUGGUCGGGUCCUGGCUGAAGCUGAACAGAGCAGAUGGAAACUUCCUUCUCUAUGCACACUUAACCUACGUCACGUUGCCGCUGCAUCGGAUUUUAACAGACAUCCUGGAAGUUCGGCAGAAGCCCAUCCUGAUGACCUAGCCGCGUGCGGAGCCUGUGCAGAGCCCCGGCCGGGCCCAGCCCUGGGAGUGCUGCCAAGUGCCUACCUGUCCACCGCCACCGGGGUCUGCUGUGACACGCCAGUGCUGGAGCCGCAGCCAGGCGAGGCCACUCGACUCCCGGGGCCGGGGCCGACUCCACGAACACCAGCCCAAACUGAAGUGCCUCUUCCCUCCCCUGCUGGCUCUGCUCCGCCCUGUGCCCCCACACCCAUCGCCCCCCACCCAUCUCUGGAGAGCCCUCUGCACCCAAAGAGGACUAGAGAUGCCGAGCGGCCAUGAGAGAGCGGAAGGAGCAGCUGAUGCCCAGAGCGGGGCCAGAGCGGCGGGUCCAUGUUCACGUUCCCCCAGCAGCAGGCGGAACCACCCAGCCAGGGCACUCGGCGCAUCAGACUGUCCACACGUUCUU